UGCUAUUAAUUCCAGUAUUUGGUUUUGGUUCUUUUUGGGAUGCUAGUUUCUCUUCUUCUAGUCUAAUUCUAUCUUGCUCCUGUUUAAGCUUGAUUUGUUCUUCAAUGUAUGGAGCUAAAAUAUUGGUCACAUUUUUAAUCAGAGUCAAAGAUAUUUCCAUAAUUUCGGGUUGGCCUUCCAUAAAGCCAUUAGCAGAAACACUUGGGAGAAUUUGUUGAGUAAUUAUAGUUGGAGAGUAAAAGUGAAUGGUAGAUAGAAGAGCCUGAAUGGCAGCCUUUCUGCAAAUGGGGAAAGGGUCCUUAAUCGUUGAAAGGUAUACCUUAUUUAAAAUUGUCGCAUGGUAUUGCUCUGGUAAGACAUUCAUUAAUUUAGCAAAGCAAAUAACAGUGUUGCUUCUAAUAAUGACUUCGGGGUCUUUUGAAAGAACAAACAUUGCACACACAAGCUUAUCAACAGCUAUUUGAGAUCCACUAUUCCCUCCAAAAGCAUUUAAUAGGGCAGCACUAUUCUUUUUCCAACCCUCCUUUAUGGAGUACAUAAAAUCAUUGGAUGUAUUUGACUUGGAGUUUUGGUUUUUCAAGGUUUGGCCAUCAUCCUCAAUAGAACAGCUUUUCUCAGUAUCUUCCUUAAGAAGAAUAGGAAUAAUUACAAUCAUGCUUUGAAGAGUUGUUUCUCUUAUCACAUUAGUGGUAUCUUGAAACCCAACUAAGAUGGACUCAAUGCAGCUCUGGAAAAUCUCUUUCAAAAGAAACCUUUCAUAUUUUGAAAUAUUCUUAAGUAAAGUAUAUCUAAUGGAUCUAUCAUUUUGACAGAGAAGAAAUUUUGUUACUGUGUAGAAUGACCUCAAAAUAAAUUUCGGGCAUGUUGUAACAUCUUUAAAAGGCUCCAUCAAGGUUAAUACUAAAGGGAAUACGCUCGGGGUGCACUGACUAAAGUUUAUUAAAAGCUUUUCAAGAAUCCUUUGGAUAAUAAUAAUGUUGGUAGAGCUAUCUCCAUGCACUUUAAUACUAGUAAGUAAAUGUGGAAGGUACUGAGUACAAAAAAUUUGUUUGUCUUCUGGAGACUUCAACAUAAAAUCAUUUAAUUGGUUCAUAAGCUCUACAAAAGGUGAGUUAUUAUUAAUUAAACUUAGACCAUUUUCUAUAUCAAUUUCUCUAUUUGUAUUCAUACAAGUUAACAAUUCACUUAACCAGUCAUGAAGCCAACGUGGAAUCAAAUCGUUUUCAAUAGUAAGAACAUCUCCAUUCAUAUAAGGUAACUUCAAUGACUCAAUAAAACCUUUUCUUUGCAUGAUUUUUGAUUGGUUAGCAAUAUUACUGUAUAUAUCUGAUGGGUUCAAAUUGGAAGAUACUUGAUAUGACCAAUAAAUCAGGCAUCCAAGAUUCCAAAGAUCAAGACUCUUAGGGUUUCUCGAUACUCUAGCAAAUUUCCAUCCCAUUAUAUUAUAAGCAGUACUUUGUUUUGAAAUAUCAUCCAUAUAAUAACUACUUGUAUCACUCAGAGAUAUAGCGUUUUCAAAUCCACCAAGUUUCCAAGAACCCUCAAAAUUUAAAUAAAUUGUCAAAGGACUAAUAUUCCCAUGCAAAAGUUUUCCAUCAUUGUGCAAGAACUUUAGCCCUUUAAUGAUCUCAUAUAAUCCUGAAAUACAGUCCUUUGGAAAACCUAUUUCAUAUUCUGAUUCCUUUGAAUUAUCAUCAUAUGUAACAAAAGAAUGAUUAAUAUUUACUGAAAGGUUAUAAAGCGACACACAUGGUUCAGUUAUAAUAUAAUAAGAGUUUGGAACUUCUAAAGUGUCAUAUACCUUCAAAAUACAGGGAUGUAUUAGGCUCUUGCAUUUUUGAAAUUGGUUUUUUGCAAGCUUUUUUGCUGUUUCAAAUGGAAUAAACCCAAGUACAUUUUCAUUACCAGAAUUUUGAGUUUUGUCAAAAACAAAAACACUACAAGUUUGCUCUGGUUUAUUCUUCCUGCAGCCUCUAUAAUGGGUCCAAAUACUAUAGUCCUCCCCUUUUACUUUCUCGCCUAUAGUAUAACCAAAGUUACUUGGCAAAUCGUUAAAUAGCUUUGAAAUCAAAGAAGAAAACAUCAAUAUUUACAUCUAACAGAAGCACUUGUUAUUGGAUAAUCGGAAAAUCUUGAAGGUAAUUAACUGGCUCUUUUUAAUUAUUUAUUUUACUCACUAAAUUAAUUAAUUACUUGGAGUUAUUUAAUCAAAGUUACUUUGAAAGUUAAAAAACACAAAAUUUAAAGUUUACCGAUCUCAGAAGCUAAUCAAACCAAUUAAUACCCAAAACAACCAUUGCUCAAUUAUUCCUGCCUUUUUGUUCUUUUGUAAUAUAUUUACUGUAUUAAAAAAUGUAAUAAAAUUGGGCGGGAAAAAUAGAGAUCUAAAAGCAAU
rnacentral:antisense_RNA from 1 species